AGUGAACGCUGGCGGUAGGCCUAACACAUGCAAGUCGAACGGCAGCACAGUAAGAGCUUGCUCUUACGGGUGGCGAGUGGCGGACGGGUGAGGAAUACAUCGGAAUCUACUUUUUCGUGGGGGAUAACGUAGGGAAACUUACGCUAAUACCGCAUACGACCUACGGGUGAAAGCAGGGGAUCUUCGGACCUUGCGCGAUUGAAUGAGCCGAUGUCGGAUUAGCUAGUUGGCGGGGUAAAGGCCCACCAAGGCGACGAUCCGUAGCUGGUCUGAGAGGAUGAUCAGCGACACUGGAACUGAGACACGGUCCAGACUCCUACGGGAGGCAGCAGUGGGGAAUAUUAGACAAUGGGCGCAAGCCUGAUCCAGCCAUACCGCGUGGGUGAAGAAGGCCUUCGGGUUGUAAAGCCCUUUUGUUGGGAAAGAAAAGCAGCAGGUUAAUACCCCGCUGUUCUGACGGUACCCAAAGAAUAAGCACCGGCUAACUUCGUG
rnacentral:rRNA from 1 species